rnacentral:rRNA from 1 species
AGAGUUUGAUCCUGGCUCAGAUUGAACGCUGGCGGCAUGCCUUACACAUGCAAGUCGAACGGCAGCGGGGACUUUGGUCCGCCGGCGAGUGGCGAACGGGUGAGUAAAGUAUCGGAACGUACCUUUCAGUGGGGGAUAACGUAGCGAAAGUUACGCUAAUACCGCAUAUUCUGUGAGCAGGAAAGCAGGGGAUCGCAAGACCUUGCGCUGAUUGAGCGGCCGAUAUCAGAUUAGCUAGUUGGUGGGGUAAAGGCCUACCAAGGCGACGAUCUGUAGCGGGUCUGAGAGGAUGAUCCGCCACACUGGAACUGAGACACGGUCCAGACUCCUACGGGAGGCAGCAGUGGGGAAUUUUGGACAAUGGGGGCAACCCUGAUCCAGCCAUGCCGCGUGAGUGAAGAAGGCCUUCGGGUUGUAAAGCUCUUUCGGCCGGGAAGAAAUCGCAUAGGUUAAUACCCUGUGUGGAUGACGGUACCGGAAUAAGAAGCACCGGCUAACUACGUGCCAGCAGCCGCGGUAAUACGUAGGGUGCGAGCGUUAAUCGGAAUUACUGGGCGUAAAGCGUGCGCAGGUGGUUUCGUAAGACAGAGGUGAAAUCCCCGGGCUCAACCUGGGAACUGCCUUUGUGACUGCGAAGCUAGAGUACGGCAGAGGGGGGUGGAAUUCACGUGUAGCANUGAAAUGCGUAAAGAUGUGGAGAAAACCGAUGGCGAAGGCAGCCCCUGGCCGAUACUGACGCUCAUGCACAAAAGCGUGGGUAGCAAACAGGAUUAGAUACCCUGGUAGUCCACGCCCUAAACGAUGUCAACUAGGUGUUGGGUGGGUAAAACCAUUUAGUACCGUAGCUAACGCGUGAAGUUGACCGCCUGGGGAGUACGGCCGCAAGGUUAAAACUCAAAGGAAUUGACGGGGACCCGCACAAGCGGUGGAUGAUGUGGAUUAAUUCGAUGCAACGCGAAAAACCUUACCUACCCUUGACAUGUUCAGAAUCCCGGAGAGAUUUGGGAGUGCCCGAAAGGGAGCUGGAACACAGGUGCUGCAUGGCUGUCGUCAGCUCGUGUCGUGAGAUGUUGGGUUAAGUCCCGCAACGAGCGCAACCCUUGUCGUUAAUUGCCAUCAUUUAGUUGGGCACUUUAACGAGACUGCCGGUGACAAACCGGAGGAAGGUGGGGAUGACGUCAAGUCCUCAUGGCCCUUAUGGGUAGGGCUUCACACGUCAUACAAUGGUCGGUACAGAGGGUUGCCAAGCCGCGAGGUGGAGCCAAUCCCAGAAAGCCGAUCGUAGUCCAGAUUGCAGGCUGCAACUCGCCUGCAUGAAGUCGGAAUCGCUAGUAAUCGCGGAUCAGCAUGUCGCGGUGAAUACGUUCCCGGGUCUUGU